UACGUAGGGGGCUAGCGUUGCUCGGAAUCACUGGGCGUAAAGCGCACGUAGGCGGCUUUUUAAGUCAGGGGUGAAAUCCUGGAGCUCAACUCCAGAACUGCCUUUGAUACUGAGAAGCUUGAGUCCGGGAGAGGUGAGUGGAACUGCGAGUGUAGAGGUGAAAUUCGUAGAUAUUGGGAAGAACACCGGUGGCGAAGGCGGCUCUCUGGACCGAUACUGACGCUGAGGCGCGAAAGCGUGGGGAGCAAACAGG
rnacentral:rRNA from 1 species